UCAAGUGUUGCCGCCAUCAGCAAGCUGCAUACGGCACCAAGGACUGCUGCACAAGUCCCUCCGCUGGUCAUCCUUACCUCUGGAAUCUCCUUGCCGAUCCAUAUUGUAGCCACGUCCGUAGAAGCCAGUAGCAGGAGGUUGGGCAAUCAAGAUCGAGAUUUGGUUUAGUCUACAAGAACGAGUUGAUCAGAAGAGCAAUGGAAUCACGAAGGACGUUCUCAGGAUACAAGAAGUGCUAGGCAUAUGUUACCCCCAGUCAACCGUCCCUGUGAAGAUUGAGCCUGAAGUUUAGUUACCGUUCCACAAUACUAUGACGUUAUGCAAAUGAUGAUGAUUGGAUUGAAGAAUAUCGAUAUGAGUACUAGGUUUGGAGUCAACAGUCAACAGUUGUCCCUAUGUGGUGCUUCCGUUGAGGGAGUUAUUUAUUAUAGUUAUCUUUAGUGUAUAAGACUUUGAGAUUAUUAUUGUUCCGUUAUGUAAUAAACAUUGUGAUGAUACUUUUGAGUUUUGUCUACUUAUGUGUGUGACUAUUUCU